rnacentral:tRNA from 1 species
AAGGGUGUAGCUCAGUGGUAAAGCACAUGCUUAGCAUGCAUGAGGUCCUGGGUUCAGUCCCCAGUACCUCCA